UUUUGAUAUCGCAUCCUCAAUGUCCAAGCUGAAGAAUCGACUGAAAGUCCCAAAAGAGUUUUCUCUGUCCUGCAGCACAGGUGGAAGCAUUAGACAGCAGCAGCACACAGUACAGACUAUCUGCUGCUGUGUCACAUCUGGGCAGCAGUUUGUAUUGUGGGCACUACAUCAGUCACAUCCCUGACCUCACUGGAUCUGGAUGGCUGGAAUGCAGCGACUCAUCCAUCAGAAAAUCCAGCUGGUCCAAAGCAUCAUGUAACAUCGAGAGAAACGGAUACAUGCUCUUCUAUGUGAAGAGCUGAGCAGAAGCUGAUUGAUGAUGCAGUUUUGAAGAGGAAAGGAAACACUGCAGAGAUGCAUUCUGGAGAGAUCUACAUCGAUGUUUCACUGCAAGAAAAGCAGACUGCUCCUAAUAAAAAACAUACAAAUAUACCAU